GUUGAAGUCAAUUGAGGAUGUCAUAUGCCACAUGAACGAUGAGAAUGGAAAGAACGAAGACAACGGAGUGGCGAGAACGAAGAGAUGGGAACGAAGUGCUUCUCACGUAGAUUCGAAGUCUGAGAACGAAUCAACUAAGGCUAAAUUGAAAAUAGGAAGAAAACUUUACCGUAGGUGCAUUAAACCUGGUCAUAACAAGGCAACUUGCAAGUAUCCACCUCAAACAACUCAAUAAGGCCAAUCCUAGGCAACUCAGACUCAACCUCAACAAGGCCACUCUCAAGCAACUCAAUCUCAGGCAACUCAGACUAGUCAAGCACCAACUAUGACAUGUGGAUCAAGACCUGCAAAAACAAAGUCACCGACUCAAGCAAGUGGAUCAAGAACUCUAGUCAAAAAGUUGAGCAUUAGGAGACCAACAAGAAGUGUAAGAACACUUGGUCCUACAACCAAGCUUGGUGCAACAAAGAAUAUAGCAGACCCUACAACUAGGCUAGUGCAUCUCAAACAAGCAAAAAGAAAAAAUAGUUUUUUAAAAUGUUUUAGGUAUCUUUUGUAAUCCUGUUAUGGUGUCUUUUGUAAUUCUGUUUUAGGUCUUUUUGGAACCCUUGUAGGGGAAUCAUUAUGAUGUU